rnacentral:tRNA from 1 species
GGGCAUGUAGCUUAACGGUAAAGCAUGCAACUUCUAAUUGCUCCAUGAGAGUUCAAUUCUCUUGAUGUCCA